rnacentral:rRNA from 1 species
CCUGACACAGGGAGGUAGUGACAAGAAAUAACAAUACAGGGCUAAUGUCUUGUAAUUGGAAUGAUGGUGACCCAAACCCUCACCAGAGUAGCAAUUGGAGGGCAAGUCUGGUGCCAGCAGCCGCGGUAAUUCCAGCUCCAAUAGCGUAUAUUAAACUUGUUGCAGUUAAAAAGCUCGUAGUUGAAUUUUAGCGUGUUCGAGUUUGCCAUUCGUUUGGCUUUUUCGAGUUCGCUUUUGGGUUUUCCCUUUUUACUUUGAGAAAAUUAGAGUGUUUCAAGCAGACUUUUGUCUUGAAUACUUCAGCAUGGAAUAAUAGAGUAGGACUUUGGUUCUAUUUUGUUGGUUAUUGAACCUUAGUAAUGGUUAAUAGGAACGGUUGGGGGCAUUCGUAUUUAA